rnacentral:lncRNA from 1 species
AUACAAGUCACCACCUCCUCCAUCACCCAAAUACGUGUACAAAUCACCACCUCCUCCAUCACCUAAAUACGUGUACAAGUCGCCACCCCCUCCAUCACCUGAAUAUGUGUACAAGUCCCCACCCCCUCCAACCCCAACUUACGUGUACAAGUCACCACCACCUCCAUCACCUGAAUACGUAUACAAGUCCCCACCACCUCCAUCACCGAAGUACGUGUAUAAAUCCCCCCCACCGCCACCAUACUACUACAAGUCCCCCCCACCUCCAUCACCUGAGUACGUAUACAAGUCUCCCCCACCUCCAUCCCCAAAGUACGUGUACAAGUCCCCGCCCCCUCCAUCACCUGAAUACGGGGACAAGUCCCCACCACCUCCCUCACCCGAAUACGUGUACAAGCCCCCACCCCCUCCAUCACCUGAAUACGGGGACAAGUCCCCACCACCUCCCUCACCCGAAUACGUGUACAAGCCCCCACCCCCUCCAUCACCUGAAUACGGGGACAAGUCCCCACCACCUCCCUCACCCGAAUACGUGUACAAGCCCCCACCCCCUCCAUCACCUGAAUACGGGGACAAGUCCCCACCACCUCCCUCACCCGAAUACGUGUACAAGCCCCCACCCCCUCCAUCACCUGAAUACGGGGACAAGUCCCCACCACCUCCCUCACCCGAAUACGUGUACAAGCCCCCACCCCCUCCAUCACCUGAAUACGGGGACAAGUCCCCACCACCUCCCUCACCCGAAUACGUGUACAAGCCCCCACCCCCUCCAUCACCUGAAUACGGGGACAAGUCCCCACCACCUCCCUCACCCGAAUACGUGUACAAGCCCCCACCCCCUCCAUCACCUGAAUACGGGGACAAGUCCCCACCACCUCCCUCACCCGAAUACGUGUACAAGCCCCCACCCCCUCCAUCACCUGAAUACGGGGACAAGUCCCCACCACCUCCCUCACCCGAAUACGUGUACAAGCCCCCACCCCCUCCAUCACCUGAAUACGGGGACAAGUCCCCACCACCUCCCUCACCCGAAUACGUGUACAAGCCCCCACCCCCUCCAUCACCUGAAUACGGGGACAAGUCCCCACCACCUCCCUCACCCGAAUACGUGUACAAGCCCCCACCCCCUCCAUCACCUGAAUACGGGGACAAGUCCCCACCACCUCCCUCACCCGAAUACGUGUACAAGCCCCCACCCCCUCCAUCACCUGAAUACGGGGACAAGUCCCCACCACCUCCCUCACCCGAAUACGUGUACAAGCCCCCACCCCCUCCAUCACCUGAAUACGUAUACAAGUCUCCACCACCUCCAUCACCGAAGUACGUGUAUAAAUCCCCACCACCGCCACCAUACUACUACAAUUCUCCUCCACCACCGUCGCCAUCUC